rnacentral:rRNA from 1 species
GACGGAGGAUGCAAGCGUUAUCCGGAAUGAUUGGGCGUAAAGCGUCCGCAGGUGGCAGUUCAAGUCUGCUGUCAAAGACCGGGGCUUAACUUCGGAAAGGCAGUGGAAACUGAACAGCUAGAGUAUGGUAGGGGCAGAGGGAAUUCCUGGUGUAGCGGUGAAAUGCGUAGAGAUCAUGAGGAAGACCAGUGGCGAAGGCGGGUCUCUGGACAGUUCCUGACACUGAGACACGAAGGCCAGGGGAGCAAACGGG